GACGAACGCUGGCGGCGUGCUUAACACAUGCAAGUCGAACGGUAAGGCCCUUCGGGGUACGACGAGUGGCGAACGGGUGGAGUAACACGUGGGUGGAUCUGCCCUGCACUUCGGGAUAAGCCUGGGAAACUGGGUCUAAUACCGGAUAGGACCAUGGACUUCACGGUUUGUGGUGGAAAGCUUUUGCGGUGUGGGAUGGGCCCGCGGCCUAUCAGCUUGUUGGUGGGGUAAUGGCCUACCAAGGCGACAACGGGUAGCCGGCCUGAGAGGGUGUCCGGCCACACUGGGACUGAGAUACGGCCCAGACUCCUACGGGAGGCAGCAGUGGGGAAUAUUGCACAAUGGGCGCAAGCCUGAUGCAGCGACGCCGCGUGAGGGAUGACGG
rnacentral:rRNA from 1 species